rnacentral:rRNA from 1 species
GCCUGGCCCUAAAUCUUGAUGCUCGAUAUUACCUGAGCAUCCGCCCGAGAACUACGAGCACAAACGCUUAAAACUCUAAGGACUUGGCGGUGCUCCAAACCCACCUAGAGGAGCCUGUUCUGUAAUCGAUGAUCCACGAUAYUACCUGACCAUUCCUUGCACGAAGCAGCCUAUAUACCGCCGUCGCCAGCCCACCUUUCCUGAUAGCUCAACAGUGGACGCAAUAGCCUAACCCGCUAGCAAGACAGGUCAAGGUAUAGCCCACGGAAUGGAAGCAAUGGGCUACAUUUUCUAGACUAGAACAUACGGAUAAGGGUAUGAAACUGCCCUUGGAAGGCGGAUUUAGCAGUAAAGAGAGACAAUUGAGCUCUCUUAAAGCCGGCUCUGGAGCACGU